UUUUUAUUGAGAGUUUGAUCCUGGCUCAGGACGAACGCUGGCGGUAUGCUUAACACAUGCAAGUCGAACGAGAAGAUCAGUUAAGAACCUUCGGGGGAAAAAGUGAUUGGAAAGUGGCGAACGGGUGAGUAACGCGUGGGUAACCUGCCCUAUGGAAAGGAAUAGCCUCGGGAAACUGGGAGUAAAGCCUUAUAUUAUGGAGAGAUCGCAUGGUCAUUUCAUGAAAACUCCGGUGCCAUAGGAUGGACCCGCGUC
rnacentral:rRNA from 1 species